rnacentral:rRNA from 1 species
GACGGAGGAUGCAAGUGUUAUCCGGAAUCACUGGGCGUAAAGCGUCUGUAGGUGGUUUAAUAAGUCAACUGUUAAAUCUUGAGGCUCAACCUCAAAAUCGCAGUCGAAACUAUUAGGCUAGAGUAUAGUAGGGGUAAAGGGAAUUUCCAGUGGAGCGGUGAAAUGCGUAGAGAUUGGAAAGAACACCGAUGGCGAAGGCACUUUACUGGGCUAUUACUAACACUCAGAGACGAAAGCUAGGGUAGCAAAU